ACGGCAGCACGGAGCUUGCUCUGGUGGCGAGUGGCGAACGGGUGAGUAAUAUAUCGGAACGUACCCUGGAGUGGGGGAUAACGUAGCGAAAGUUACGCUAAUACCGCAUACGAUCUAAGGAUGAAAGCAGGGGACCGCAAGGCCUUGUGCUCCUGGAGCGGCCGAUAUCUGAUUAGCUAGUUGGUGGGGUAAAGGCCCACCAAGGCAUCGAUCAGUAGCUGGUCUGAGAGGACGACCAGCCACA
rnacentral:rRNA from 1 species